UCGAGAAGGAUGAUCAGCACACCUGGAACUGAGAACACCGGUCCAGACUCUACGGGAGGCAGCAGUGGGAUAUGCACAAUGGGCGCAAGCUGAUGCAGCAUGCCGCGUGUGUGAAGAAGGCCUUCGGGUUGUAAAGCACUUUCAGUCGUGAGGAAGGUAGUGUAGUUAAUAGCUGCAUUAUUGACGUUAGCGACAGAAGAAGCACCGGCUAACUCCGUGCCAGCAGCCGCGGUAAUACGGAGGGUGCGAGCGUUAAUCGGAAUUACUGGGCGUAAAGCGCAUGCAGGUGGUUUGUUAAGUCAGAUGUGAAAGCCCGGGGCUCAACCUCGGAAUUGCAUUUGAAACUGGCAGACUAGAGUACUGUAGAGGGGGGUAGAAUUUCAGGUGUAGCGGUGAAAUGCGUAGAGAUCUGAAGGAAUACCGGUGGCGAAGGCGGCCCCCUGGACAGAUACUGACACUCAGAUGCGAAAGCGUGGGGAGCAAACAGGAUUAGAUACCCUGGUAGUCCACGCCGUAAACGAUGUCUACUUGGAGGUUGUGGCCUUGAGCCGUGGCUUUCGGAGCUAACGCGUUAAGUAGACCGCCUGGGGAGUACGGUCGCAAGAUUAAAACUCAAAUGAAUUGACGGGGGCCCGCACAAGCGGUGGAGCAUGUGGUUUAAUUCGAUGCAACGCGAAGAACCUUACCUACUCUUGACAUCCAGAGAACUUUCCAGAGAUGGAUUGGUGCCUUCGGGAACUCUGAGACAGGUGCUGCAUGGCUGUCGUCAGCUCGUGUUGUGAAAUGUUGGGUUAAGUCCCGCAACGAGCGCAACCCUUAUCCUUGUUUGCCAGCGAGUAAUGUCGGGAACUCCAGGGAGACUGCCGGUGAUAAACCGGAGGAAGGUGGGGACGACGUCAAGUCAUCAUGGCCCUUACGAGUAGGGCUACACACGUGCUACAAUGGCGCAUACAGAGGGCAGCCAACUUGCGAAAGUGAGCGAAUCCCAAAAAGUGCGUCGUAGUCCGGAUUGGAGUCUGCAACUCGACUCCAUGAAGUCGGAAUCGCUAGUAAUCGUGGAUCAGAAUGCCACGGUGAAUACGUUCCCGGGCCUUGUACACACCGCCCGUCACACCAUGGGAGUGGGCUGCAAAAGAAGUAGGUAGUUUAACCUUCGGGGGGACGCUUACCACUUUGUUCCGA
rnacentral:rRNA from 1 species